rnacentral:antisense_RNA from 1 species
GCCGACCCCGGACCAAAAGUAGCGCUGCAGCCGACCGAACCGCUUCCUCCCGCGCCGUCCUCCCCUCCCCCACGCCGGGACGGCCUCCCGGGGGAGGCCCCGAGGAAAAAAAUCCAGGCUCGAACUCCGCCCCCUGCCGGCCGCCAGCAGGAGUGAAGCGCCACAAUCCAACAAUGAAAUGGAACCGGGGAGGGGCGGCGGGAAGGUUAUAGUGCCAUCAUGUGGAUACUUUGUUUUCUUCAAAUAAAAUGUAACCUUUUUAUAACAGAAACUAGAAAACCCAGCCAUCCCAACACCCAGGCUGUGCAAAGAAAUUGGGGCCAAACUUUUUUUGCCAUGUUCUGAAAAGGAUAGAGGCACUCUCCAUUCCUGAUUGUUCCAAGGCUCAAGUGGUCAGAAAUGACUGGGAAGAAGGGAGAAAAACUCAGGUGGCAAAGGACAUGGACGAAAACCCAUGGCGACAUGGAAAGAAAACCCUGUGAUAUAUAGAGGAAGAGCACAGGACAGCUUAUUGGGGAGA